rnacentral:rRNA from 1 species
GUGGGGAAUAUUGCACAAUGGGCGCAAGCCUGAUGCAGCGACGCCGCGUGAGCGAAGAAGUAUUUCGGUAUGUAAAGCUCUAUCAGCAGGGAAGAAAAUGACGGUACCUGACUAAGAAGCUCCGGCUAAAUACGUGCCAGCAGCCGCGGUAAUACGUAUGGAGCAAGCGUUAUCCGGAAUUACUGGGUGUAAAGGGAGCGUAGACGGAUGUGCAAGUCUGAUGUGAAAGGCGGGGGCUCAACCCCUGGACUGCAUUGGAAACUGUAAAUCUUGAGUGCCGGAGAGGUAAGCGGAAUUCCUAGUGUAGCGGUGAAAUGCGUAGAUAUUAGGAGGAACACCAGUGGCGAAGGCGGCUUACUGGACGGUAACUGACGUUGAGGCUCGAAAGCGUGGGGAGCAAACAGG